UGGAUGCAGAAUUAAAGAGGAACAGUGUCUCAUCCUGACUUCAGCUCUGAAAUCAAACCCAUCACACCUGAGAGAACUGAACCUGAGCGGAAAUCAAAUAAAAAACACAGGAGUGAAUCACUUAUGUGACGUACUGAAGGAUUCAUAUUGUAAAAUGGAAAGAUUGAGUCUUUUUGACUGUGGAAUUACAGAUGUUUCUUCUUUAACUCAGUCUUUGACAAACACAAAAGCACUGCAGUUUCUAAAAGAGCUUGAUCUGAGUUUUAAUAUGAUUGGAGACUCAAAGCAGCAGCUCAUUGAUGUGAUACGAGACUCAAACUGUAAACUGAGUCCCUCAUAGAAGGGACUUCAGUCGGCAAAGAUGAUAAAUGCUGUACAUCAUAAUUUGAAGUGGUCUUGAGAGGAGCAGUAAACAUCAGUUGAGGAACCACAGAAGAGCUUCACUACUGUGUCUAUGAGGAGAAAGAAAUGUGUGAUAAAUGUGUGAAUGUGAUCCAUACAGGUGAAGAGACUCAGACUUUACAAUCAAAUGAUGCAGCAUGUGUGUUAGAAACGUU